GUUCAUGAGAGCACAGAGAGAAGACCAUAUGAGGACACAGCAAGAAGGUAGCCAACCACAAAUCAGGAAGAGAAGUCUCACUAGAACCCAAACCUGUGAAACCUUCAUCUUGGACUUCCAGCCUCCAGAACUGGGUCUCUGGUCCUGAUGAUGUGCAAUGGUCAAGAAGGAGAAGUCCACAGUGUCGCCAUAAGAAGGGUCCUCUCCCAAGCUACCAGGAUCUUUCCAGCCUUCACAAUCACCAGGGGAUGGGGAGAAAGCAGACAUGGCUGAUCACGACUGUUCUAUACCUUCAGUUAUAAUUUCAGGCUUGACUGAAAAGUCUUAAACAUAAUUUGAAGCUUUGAAUAGAAUAAUAAUUUGACCUUCAAGCUUAAAUAAAUGUCUAGGUUUUUACUUUUCUAGGUCCUUCUUCCAAGCAUUAAUGCAGAUGUCCUUGUUGAGAUGCAGUUGAUAUCACAGGAAAGGAGUGAACCUACAUGCCCACUUCAAACUCAGGUGUGCCUGCACAGCCCACAUCGUGCUCUGCUUGGUUGCUGGGACUGCCAGAAGAGUCUCUAGAGAAGAUAACAUGCCCUGAAAACUUCACAACUUCACUGAGGUCUCCCUCCUCCAGAACAUGUAUGACAGAGUCCAACUGGCCCAACUCAAUGGACGCUCCUCAACACUGUAAGAUACACCCACUGCUGCGAAGAUGGAAGGAGAGCGUAUCAGUGAGUGGUGAAUAAAGCCCGAUGCCAAACAUAAUCCAAUGUCCCAA